rnacentral:rRNA from 1 species
AACGAACGCUGGCGGCAGGCUUAACACAUGCAAGUCGAACGAGCUGGGGGCUUCUGUCCCCGAUGCUAGUGGCGCACGGGUGAGUAACACCUGGGAAUAUGCCCUUUAGUACGGAAUAACCUCGGGAAACUUUGGCUAAUACCGUAUACGCCCUUCGGGGGAAAGAUUUAUCGCUUAAGGAUUAGCCCGCGUCUGAUUAGGUAGUUGGUGGGGUAAUGGCUCACCAAGACGAAGAUAAGUAGCUGGUCUGAGAGAAGGAGCAGCCACACUGGGACUGAGACACGGCCGAGAAUCCUACGGGAGGGAGGAGUGGGGAAUAUUGGAAAAUGGGGGGAACGAUGAGCCAGCCAUGCCGCGUGAGUGAAGAAGGCCGUAGGGUUGUAAAGCUAGUUAGACGGGGACGAUGAUGACGGUACCAGUAGAAGAAGCCCCGGCAAACUUCGUG